ensembl:lincRNA
AUAACAUGAAAAUGAUUUUGCUGAGAGCAACACUGACAGCAGCCAUUCUGCUUUUCGGUAACUUUUAAACCCCCCUGAAUUUAAUUCUGGACUUUGUAUUACUGGAAUUUUCUCCCAGCCUUCACCUGUUGUGAGACAUUUUUCUGCAUUGAACUGCUCUGUCUUUCUUAACUUUCAGAAAACAAAAAACGACGAGAAAAGAGAUUAUAGUUUUGUAGCAAAAACAAAAUCAGUGAAGUAUUGCGUUUACCAACACAAGUUUGGUCAUGUAAUGAAUCAACAAAACUGGAAAUUCACCUGUUUGCCUGUAUGUACUGUACAUUUCACUGUUCUCUUGCCUUUUCAAACCUUUCAGCUGCGAGUUCCACCAGCUGCCUGAAGGUGCAGUUCCCAGGCCUGCAUACAGACGUAGAAGCUUGUUUACAGCGUAGCUGCGCCAGGAAUAUCGACGUCUGUGGGGAGACACAUGGGCAGGCUCUCACAAACAAGCUGAAAGGUUGCAUUGUGCAGAAGUGUCAGACCAUGGCCAAGCGCUGUAUAAGGGACGUUUUUAAUACCUUUGCUACUUUCAUAGAUGGGCCAUACAGCUCAGAGAUUAAAACCAUUGGAGAGAUUCUUGUGGAAUACUUUGUCCAGUACUACAUGGAGUGCUGGCAAACAAUGAACGCUGAAGAUCUCAAAGAAACAGCAGUGUGUGUGGCCAACAAGCAGAUCGAUAAAGUACAACCGGUCCUCACUCAUUUUGCCAGGAUGAUUUUCAAAAACCCAGAAUAUAUGUCCUGCUGGCUUACAAAGUCUAUGAAAGGCAUCGUGAUGUGCUAUGACCACCAUUAUGACACCAAGGACCUCAUGCAAUCAAAAAUGUUUACUGAAAGUCGGACGAAGACGAACUUAGCAGGUUACCUGUCCUGUCUUAGAAAAGGCUUCUUGAACGCAGGACCGGAGUGUCAGGAAAUGUUUGAGGCCAUGCUUGCUGUCAAAAAAGGAAAAUCCUUGGGUAAGUGCAUCGUGCAUUUUUAUUCUUCUCACUGUGUCAAAUGGCGAUCUUUUCGCUUUGCUAUUAUAUCUUUAUUGUAUUUUACAAAAAAAUCAUAUUUCCACGACUCAGAGAAAACAGACCCCAAUUCUAAUUUGAAAUGGAGUCUCUCCAGAUCUCGCGUGACUUGUCUAUGUCUCUGUGCUUCGAGAAAAAGGCCCAAAGCAGUGAAAGUCUGGCCUGUAAAGGGCGGCGUGACUGGGGAUGAAGAGAGUGAAGAGAUGACUAAACUUUCUCCCACACGUGAUCUCUCAUGAGAGCCGUUCAUCUUUCAGCCUGGGAUUACAUUACCAUAUUAGGGCAUCUUUUCCACAGGUCUCCUGUUUGUGCCUCCCACUUAAAGGGGAGUUAACUGUCCAGUUGUGCCUCUUCUUCCAGUCCACGUCUGUCUGGGCCUGAACACAGCUGACCUGUACUGAACUGACUGGUGAUCAGAGUGUUUAGCUGGUCUACAAUAACCUGUAUAAGUACUGUAUCCUGUAUACACCUGCAACACCUAAAGGAGUUGGCAGGUACUACUAUAUGCAUAUCCCCUCCCAUACUGUAUAUUACUACUUAUUGAGUCUUUCAUUAAUUUACUAAUUGGCAUGAGUAAAGUAGUUUCUCUUUCUUAAACGGAGCUCAUGAGCAAGCAAUGUCCUGAAGAGUCUGACACAGUCUUGUGUGACAGAACAGGUCAUGACUGGGCUGUAGAGACACCCUCUCAUGAUCAUCUGUCAUACUUGGGUGGUUUGCAAAAAGCUCCUAGCUCUGAAAACACCUAUUGCUGGCUACCUAUUUUUGUGUAAGAGGAGCCGAACGACCUUGUCUGUUGUUUCAGAAGUGCCAAAUGACUUUGUUUCUUCUUUCCCUCUUUCAAGAUUAUUUCCUGUGCUCACUCCAGGAAGUGAUCGUCGCCACAGCUAAAUGCUGAUAUGUGCUCUGCUGCAGGCUGCCCUGUUCAUGCCUUGUAUUUAAUUCACUUAUAUGUUAUUUUCUGUAAUUAACUUUCAAAUGAAAUCUACUCCAUGCUAAAACAUUGAAUUAAAUGCCAUCGAUUGCUACUUAAAUAACUUAAGACUAAACUGUACAAGUGAAUUAGAAUUAAUGUUUUGUUCUUACUGCACUGAUAUUUUACAUUGAGUUUAAUGUAAUAAAACACUUUCA